UUUUCCUAUAGUUAAUUAGCCAGCAUUGACACGGUUGGUUGGCCUAAAAAGUUUCGAAGCAGUCUAUUGAUUUGGGUAAGACCAACCACUUUACCCUUGUAACACGUAGUUGAUUAGGGCUGCCUGCAAUGUUAAAAGAUGCGCUAGCAGUGGUCCCGUAUUUAUUUCCGAGAGAGAGAGAGAGAGAGAGAGAGAGAGAGAGAGACGAGGGAACAAGGAGUCAACGUCAAUAGCUGUAAGAAAGGGCCAAAACAAACCUCUACCGGCUCUAUAUAUGAGGCUGUAGAAGAAGAGAGGAGGGGGCAUUCACAACGGAGGAGGAGAAGGUAAGAUUAAAAGGCCAUGAAUUAGGGUUCCAGGCAAAUUAAGCAUGCAAAAUGAUGAGCAUGGCUCUUUGGUUCCUUCGGUUCUACUAAUAUAUAUAUUAUAUAUAUAUAUGUAUAUAUAUGUUGGUUUGAGAGGUUGAAGCUGCCAGCAUGAUCUGGUGAGACCGGGCCCAUGUCUUUCCCUUCCUUUCUUAUCGUCAUCUUUUCCUUCCUUUGAUCAUCAUCUUCAUCCUGUUUCCGAAUUUGAUGGACCACAAAGCAUAUAGAUAGAUAGAUCAUUUUGGACGAUCCAGGUUUUAGAUUCCUUCCAGUGAUUAGAUGGUGAGAUUAUACACAUACACAUAUUCAUUCUAUCAGGAUGCUGUAGCCUGGUUGCUUUUCCAGUUUCUGAUGAUGAGGGAUUUUAUAAGUAAUUAGUUAACCACAAUUACAUGAGCACCAGAUAGAACAUAUAUAUGGUUGUAUCAGGUCAUCCUGCAGCUUCAAUCACUCACUCACCAACAAUACCCCAAAUUCCGGCCACCAGUCUGCAAUUCUCCGGCCAUCCUCCGGUAAUAAUCCAGCCGCAGAGAGAGCAGCUGGGACAUGGACGGAUAUGAUUUACUUACGCCCUAGACUUCAACAAAAUUUUAACCUGUGCUCUAGAGGGGGUUCUAGAUUAAUGUUAUAUAUAUUAUGCUAUUGAUCAGUAAUUGUGUCACUUUUUUAAAAUUUUUCUUACAUAAAUUUAGAAUGAGGUAAAAAACUUGAUAUAUUACUGUUAUUUUUCUUAAUUUUUUGUAGAUACUAUUAUCAAAGUAAUUUAAAAGAAAAAUCAAAUGCUAUCUGUUUGUUUCAUUAA